rnacentral:rRNA from 1 species
UACAGAGACUGCAAGCGUUAUUCGGAUUCACUGGGCGUAAAGGGUGCGCAGGCGGCCAAGUGUGUCAGGUGUGAAAUCCCGAGGCUUAACCUCGGAACUGCGCCUGAAACUACUUGGCUAGAGUACUGGAGAGGGUAACGGAAUUCACGGUGUAGCAGUGAAAUGCGUAGAUAUCGUGAGGAACACCAGAGGCGAAGGCGGUUACCUGGACAGUUACUGACGCUCAGGCACGAAAGCGUGGGGAGCAAAGGG